ACGCUCGACACCUACGGGAGGUAGCAGUCGGGAAUAUUGCGCAAUGGAGGAAACUCUGACGCAGUGACGCCGCGUAUAGGAAGAAGGUUUUCGGAUUGUAAACUAUUGUCGUUAGGGAAGAAAAAAGACAGUACCUAAGGAGGAAGCUCCGGCUAACUACGUGCCGCAGCCGCGGUAAUCUGAGCGGGCUGGCAAGGC
rnacentral:rRNA from 1 species